rnacentral:rRNA from 1 species
AGAAUGAACGCUGGCGGCAUGCCUAACACAUGCAAGUCGAACGAACUACCUUCGGGUAGUUAGUGGCGCACGGGUGCGUAACGCGUGGGAAUCUGCCCUUGGGUUCGGAAUAACAGUGAGAAAUUACUGCUAAUACCGGAUAAUGUCGCAAGACCAAAGAUUUAUUGCCCAAGGAUGAGCCCGCGUAAGAUUAGCUAGUUGGUGGGGUAAAGGCCUACCAAGGCGACGAUCUUUAGCUGGUCUGAGAGGAUGAUCAGCCACACUGGGACUGAGACACGGCCCAGACUCCUACGGGAGGCAGCAGUGGGGAAUAUUGGACAAUGGGCGAAAGCCUGAUCCAGCAAUGCCGCGUGAGUGAUGAAGGCCUUAGGGUUGUAAAGCUCUUUUACCCGGGAAGAUAAUGACUGUACCGGAGAAUAAGCCCGGCUAACUCCGUGCCAGCAGCCGC